rnacentral:rRNA from 1 species
AUUGAACGCUGGCGGCAGGCCUAACACAUGCAAGUCGAGCGAGCGGAGGGCGGGGGAGUAAUGUAUGGGAAUGUGCCCGGUAGAGGGGGAUCACCACUGGAAACGGUGUCUAAUACCGCAUCCUAACGGGUGAACCCAUAUGGGAUUCGCUAGUAGGUGGGGUAACGGCACACUGAGGCGACGAUCUCUAGCUGGUCUGAGAGUAAGAUCAGCCACACUGGAACUGAGACACGGGCCAGAAUCCUACGGGAGGCAGCAGGGGGGAAUAUUGCACAAUGGGCGAAAGCCUGAUGCAGCCAUGCCGCGUGUAUGAAGAAGGCCUUCGGGUUGUAAAGUACUUUCAGCGGGGAGGCGUUACCCGCAGAAGAAGCACCGGCUAACUCCGUGCCAGCAGCCGCGGUAAUAC